UACGGAGGGUGCAAGCAUUGAUCGGAAUUACUGGGCGUAAAGGGCGCGUAGGCGGUCUAGAAAGUCAGAUGUGAAAUUCCGGGGCUCAACCCCGGAGCUGCAUUUGAAACUCCUAGACUAGAGUACAGUUAGGGAAAACGGAAUUCCACGUGUAGCGGUGAAAUGCGUAGAUAUGUGGAAGAACACCGGUGGUGAAGACGGUUUUCUGGGCUGAAACUGACGCUGAGGCGCGAAAGCUAGGGGAGCAAACAGG
rnacentral:misc_RNA from 1 species